UACGGGGGGGGCAAGCGUUGUUCGGAAUUACUGGGCGUAAAGGGCUCGUAGGUGGCCAACUAAGUCGGACGUGAAAUCCCUCAGCUUAACUGGGGAACUGCGUCCGAUACUGGAUGGCUUGAGUUUGGGAGAGGGAUGCGGAAUUCCAGGUGUAGCGGUGAAAUGCGUAGAUAUCGUAAGGAAGACCAGUGGCGAAGGCGGGUCUCUGGACAGUUCCUGACGCUGAGGCACGAAGGUCAGGGGAGCAAACGGG
rnacentral:rRNA from 1 species